UACGUAGGGGGCAAGCGUUGUCCGGAAUUAUUGGGCGUAAAGAGCGCGUAGGCGGUCCGAUAAGUCGGCUGUGAAAGUCCAGGGCUCAACCCUGGAAAGCCGGCCGAUACUGUCGGACUAGAGUCCGGAAGAGGCAAGUGGAAUUCCCGGUGUAGCGGUGAAAUGCGCAGAUAUCGGGAGGAACACCGGUGGCGAAGGCGGUCUCUGGGCCGAUACUGACGCUGAGGAGCGAAAGCGUGGGGAGCGAACAGG
rnacentral:rRNA from 1 species